CUUCCUUUUUCAUUUCUUUUCAGUUUUUGUUUUUUGAUUUUAUUUUAUUUCCUGCCCUUUUCUUAUUCUUUUCUUGUUUUAAUUUUAUCUUUUAUUUUCUUUUUCUUUUGGUUUUAGUUUUAUUCUUCUUCCUUGCUUCUAUUUGUUUUUCUUUUUUCUUUUCAGAUUUUCUAUGUUUCUUCAUUCUUAUUUUAUAUUUUAAUUCCUUUUAAUCUUCUCUUUAUCCUUAUUUAAAUUAUUCAUUUAUUUUAUUUGCUCUAUGCACUUUUAUCGUUUGUUAAUCAUGUUUGUUUUUAUAUUUUUCUUCUUAGUAAUUUUAUUUUUUAUUUUUAUUUUUUUUAUAUAUGCGAUGUUUAUGUAGUAUAUAUUUAGUGUUCUAUGUUAUGCUAUGUCAUAUUUACGUAGUAUACAUGUGAUGUUCUAUGAUGUUUCUUAUGGUGUUCACUUAGUAUACAUGUAAUCUAUAAUAGAUGUGAUGUUCUAUAAUAUAUUUAAUGAUGUUCUAUGAUGUAUUUAGUGAUGUUAAUGUUCUAUAAAUAUAUUUACGAUAUUUGAAAAGUAACCCUUUGACAUUAUUUGAAAAUUUUCUCCAUUUUGUGUUUUUAUUUUUUUCUUAUGCUUUUUUACUCUAGAUUUUAUUAUUAUU
rnacentral:lncRNA from 1 species